rnacentral:rRNA from 1 species
CCUACGGGGGGCUGCAGUGAGGACUAUUGGUCAAUGGACGAGAGUCUGAACCAGCCAAGUAGCGUGAAGGAUGACUGCCCUAUGGGUUGUAAACUUCUUUUAUAUGGGAAUAAAAUGUUCCACGUGUGGGAUUUUGUAUGUACCAUAUGAAUAAGGAUCGGCUAACUCCGUGCCAGCAGCCGCGGUAAUACGGAGGAUCCGAGCGUUCUCCGGAUUUAUUGGGUUUAAAGGGAGCGUAGGUGGAUUGUUAAGUCAGUUGUGAAAGUUUGCGGCUCAACCGUAAAAUUGCAGUUGAAACUGGCAGUCUUGAGUACAGUAGAGGUGGGCGGAAUUCGUGGUGUAGCGGUGAAAUGCUUAGAUAUCACGAAGAACUCCGAUUGCGAAGGCAGUUCACUGGACUGCAACUGACACUGAGGCUCGAAAGUGUGGGUAUCAAACAGGAUUAGAUACCCGAGUAGUC